AUUGACCAAUGUAAAGUUUGCUUUAUCUUCGUUUUCAAAGAGUCUUUUGAAAAUUAUUAUUAAAGUAAUAACGUCUUUUUCAUACAUAAUUUAUCUGCUCAACCUGCUUUGGCUGUGUUUCUAGUUCAAAAAACUCAAGAGGGUUCAACUACUUUUAAAAGGAUUAGAUUGCCUGAUCAGGUGUUUACCCAUUUUAUUAAGUUAUUUCUUUAAAGUUGAAAAUGUUUCCCAAGCAUUCUCUAUUUAGUUGGAUUUACAUUGUUUCUGCAUGAGACGGGCUUCUAAGAGGGACAGGUCUGCCUGGCACAGGCAUGAAGUCAUUAGCCCUGUUUGCUCAACCCUGCAUGGAGAGAGACCUGAACUAGCCCAAAGUGCAUACGCCAUCUCUUUCUUCUGCUCACAUAGACUGUUGUUCAAGUAUUUGUUCUAGGAUGAAAAGCUCCCUCCCUGUAGUCAGCAAUCACUGAGUGCCUAUUCAACAUAGAUGCUACAUUGCCUUUAACUCUCAAUCAAGAUCCCAUGGCAUGGCACUCAGCACAGAGGACCAGCACACACCCCAGGGAUAUCCUGAACAACAUUUGUACCUGGUCUUUCAAACCAGACAGAAGUUGUGAACAAUUAAUUCACCUAACAAGUAGGCUAUACUUGGGUAGAAAUAUUUGUUAGUUAUCAAGAUACUAAUUUAUUAGGUAAAAUAAUCUUUAGUUACCAAAAUCUCAAAAGAUGGAAAGCAUAAAAGAAAGAAAGGAUGUAUGUAUAAUUUUCUUAGAAUGACAUAUUUAACUCACAGCCUCAAGGUUGUUGGUUUGUUUUUCUCCCAGUGGAAAGCCAAGCAUAAGAUAAGGAGUGUAGGUUAUUACAAAGCAUCUGAGAAGUUCCUUGCAAAACACCAACUUUAGAUGAAUUUCUUCCAAAUUAACAACAUGGCAUAAUAAAAAUCAACGUGUCUGCUCUUAUGCAGUCAUUUUUACCAAGGCAAUGUGAGCCUGGAGUGAAUAUGAAUCAUUGAAGGCAUGGUCUAAUAGUGUUUUAUUCACCUUUGAUUCAUUGUGAAUUUCUAUCUCAUAUCAAUAAUAAGCUGCAAAAACUUCCAAGAUAGUAAUAAACGCAAUAAGCGAAAACUAAAAUUGCCUUGUUUCCUACUGUAUAUCAACAGAG
rnacentral:lncRNA from 1 species